GAUGAACGCUGGCGGCGUGCCUAAUACAUGCAAGUCGAGCGAACAGACGAGGAGCUUGCUCCUCUGACGUUAGCGGCGGACGGGUGAGUAACACGUGGAUAACCUACCUAUAAGACUGGGAUAACUUCGGGAAACCGGAUCUAAUACCGGAUAAUAUAUUGAACCGCAUGGUUCAAUAGUGAAAGACGGUUUUGCUGUCACUUAUAGAUUGAUCCGCGCCGCAUUAGCUAGUUGGUAAGGUAACGGCUUACCAAGGCAACGAUGCGUAGCCGACCUGAGAGGGUGAUAGGCCACACUGGAACUGAGACACGGUCCAGACUCCUACGGGAGGCAGCAGUAGGGAAUCUUCCGCAAUGGGCGAAAGCCUGACGGAGCAAAGCCGCGUGAGUGAUGAAGGUCUUAGGAUCGUAAAACUCUGUUAUUAGGGAAGAACAAAUGUGUAAGUAACUAUGCACGUAUUGACGGUACCUAAUCAGAAAGCCACGGCUAACUACGUG
rnacentral:rRNA from 1 species